UGGCAUCCUUCGGGGUUACAGCCUUGCUGAAUUAUUCACCCGUGUCUUUUGCGUACUUCUUGUUUCCUUGGUGGGUUCGCCCACCAUAGGACAAACCAUAAACCUUUUGUAAUUGCAAUCAGCGUCAGUAAAAAAAAUUAAUAAUUACAACUUUUAACAACGGAUCUCUUGGUUCUGGCAUCGAUGAAGAACGCAGCGAAAUGCGAUAAGUAGUGUGAAUUGCAGAAUUCAGUGAAUCAUCGAAUCUUUGAACGCACAUUGCGCCCUUUGGUAUUCCAAAGGGCAUGCCUGUUCGAGCGUCAUUUGUACCCUCAAGCUUUGCUUGGUGUUGGGCGUCUUGUCUCCAGUUCGCUGGAGACUCGCCUUAAAGUAAUUGGCAGCCGGCCUACUGGUUUCGGAGCGCAGCACAAGUCGCGCUCUCUUCCAGCCAAGGUCAGCAUCCACAAAGCCUUUUUUCAACUUUUGACCUCGGAUCAGGUAGGGAUACCCGCUGAACUUAAGCAUAUCAA
rnacentral:rRNA from 1 species